GUUGGAACAAGGAUGAAUCUAAAAGCUGCAGGACAGUAGCUCUCGAGGACUAGGAUUGGGCACCCCUGAUAUAGGCCAUCCGGUUAAGUUUUAUUGGAGAGAAGGCUGGCAUUUCCUUAGCAGAUGUCUUAGAAUGAAGCCAUAACAUUAUAGGACAUAGGAAAGUGCAAACAUUUUGUUUUGGUGUGAACUCUUCCUCUAAAAUCUGAUUCGGAUGUCGUAUAAUCUAAUUAAUGAUAUCAUCAUUUCUUCUUCCAGAAAACAUGCAGGGCUUGCAAUGAUUAAAAUACUGAAACCAUCAUAAAAUUUUGACUUUGUAGUAACAAAAACAUUUAAUAAAGACACCUGCUUAUCGGUUCCACUUGCAUUUCAGCUACAACCAGCUGAUUUCAGGUCAUGCACCAGGGGAGGAAAAUGGUAGCGCAGUAUACAGCCUGGAUAUUGAAAUUACUUUUUUUAUUGCACAAAAGGACAAGAGAGAGUAGUAAAGUGGAAAACUGCUGCUUCCUUUCUACCUCUUCAUGUUUCUGAAGUAAAAUCACUGUGCCAAUCACUUUAAAGUGUCUUUGUGCUGGGGAUCACCCUUGCUUUGUGUACCUAAAGAUAAACAUUACACGUGUGACCUCAUUAGGAUACUGAUUUUUGUUGUUGUGUGGGAGUGUAGCCUAGAGGUUUAUAUUGUUAAAUGGUACUUUUGAGACAAUGGGUUGGGAAGUAACAAAUUACAAAUACUUUGUUACUGUACUCAAGAAGAAUUUUCAGGUAUCUGUGCUUUACUUGAGUAAGCAAAUAUCUCCACUGUCUACUUCUGAGAUUUUAGAAACAGACUGAUUAGUUUAGGUCCAAUGGUAUCAUUUAUAUUGCUUACACUCGCAGAUUAAAGUGGGCUGGAAUGAAUGCAGGUGUCCCUUUUUAGUUGGAUAGCCUUGGUGUAUGGGAUGGAAACAUCUGUGAAACAUCUGUGUACAUCUUGUUGGAUUCAGUUGUGUAAAUCCACAGAAAGCAGUAAACCUCAGGUCAACAAUAGCAACAGAUCAGCUGAUCACAGCCUGUAUACAGGUUUCAGAUUAUUGUAAGUAGCCUCUUAACAGCUUAGUAUUGACAUAUGUUUCUCUGUUUCUCUAAAUUACAUUGGAAACACAUUAAAGGACUUGGAUAAUCGAUAAAUGGAAAAAGAAUAAACCAGACAAUGAAACAAUGAUUUUUUAUGAGUGUUUAUUUUUAAACCAUACAGUUGUGGCCUAUAACAGCAUAACUAAAGGAUGGGACAGGGUCAGCUGAUCUAGCUGUAGCUAUAAGAUUGAUCAAAAAGGAAAGUUAUGAGUUUAAUGUUAAAAGACGAGAGCGUUUCUGUUUACACAGGACAGUGACAGGAAAGCUGAAGGCUCAGCCUCCCAUUAGACACAUUAGACCUCACCAGAGUGAACAACUUUCUCUGCAGCAACACAACUCAUAACUUUUAUUCACACCCUGUCCUGAUACUUCUAUUUCAUCUGCUAUAAACAAUAACCAUACACUAUUAUUGCAAUCUAGACUACAGCUCAAAAGUUUGUAGAGAAUUAGAAAUGUCUUAUUUUCUGACAACAGUAAAAAUCUUUUUGAUGUUUUACUAAAUUAUUCAGAAGUGUAAAGAUAUAUAAAUAAUUAAUGGUAACAUUUAUCAUAAAUCACAAAUGAGAUUUAGUGGAAUAUCUACAUAAGUGUAUUGUUAUGAAAACAACAGAAUGAUGAUGAGACACUGUGUUAAAG
ensembl:lncRNA